AUUGAACGCUGGCGGAAUGCUUUACACAUGCAAGUCGAACGGCAGCACGGGUGCUUGCACCUGGUGGCGAGUGGCGAACGGGUGAGUAAUAUAUCGGAACGUAUCCAAUAAUGGGGGAUAACUAGCCGAAAGGUUAGCUAAUACCGCAUACGCCCUGAGGGGGAAAGCUGGGGAUCGUAAGACCUAGCGUUGAUGGAGCGGCCGAUAUCUGAUUAGCUAGGUGGUGGGGUAAGAGCCUACCAAGGCGACGAUCAGUAGCUGGUCUGAGAGGACGGCCAGGCACACUGGAACUGAGACACGGGUCAGACUCCGACGGGAGGCAGCAGUGGGGAAUUUUGGACAAUGGGGGCAACCCUGAUCCAGCCAUUCCGCGUGAGUGAAGAAGGCCUUCGGGUUGUAAAGCUCUUUCGCAAGGGAAGAAAACUCGAUCUCUAAUUUAGGUUGAGGCUGACGGUACCUUGAUAAGAAGCACCGGCUAACUACGUGCCAGCCGCCGCUGUAA
rnacentral:rRNA from 1 species